rnacentral:tRNA from 1 species
GGGCAUGUAGCUCAAUUGGCUAGAGCUUUCGGCUUAUACCCGAAUGGUUCCUGGUUCGAGUCCAGGCAUGCCCACCA